rnacentral:rRNA from 1 species
CUCUCUCUUCAAAACAUAUAUAUCUUUCGGCGCCAGUCUUUCCUGCCUUACCUUAACCCCGCUUUCACGUGGCGAAUCGGUAUGAGGUUUCAAUGA